AUAUCAAUAAGCGGAGGAAAAGAAACCAACUGGGAUUGCCUUAGUAACGGCGAGUGAAGCGGCAACAGCUCAAAUUUGAAAUCUGGCCCUUCCGGGGUCCGAGUUGUAAUUUGUAGAGGAUGCUUCGGGCAACGCUGCGGUACAAGUCUCUUGGAACAGGGCGUCAUAGAGGGUGAGAAUCCCGUCCUCAACCGUGAGUCGCGUCCAUGUGAAGCUCCUUCGACGAGUCGGGUUGUUUGGGAAUGCAGCUCAAAAUGGGUGGUAAAUUUCAUCUAAAGCUAAAUAUUGGCCAGAGACCGAUAGCGCACAAGUAGAGUGAUCGAAAGAUGAAAAGCACUUUGAAAAGAGAGUUAAACAGCAUGUGAAAUUGUUGAAAGGGAAGCGCUUGCAGCCAGACUUGUGGGCGGUGAUUCAGCCGUUCUUCUGAUCGGUGCACUUUGCCGUCUCCAGGCCAGCAUCGGUUUGGGCAGCUAGUUAAAGGCCUCGGGAAUGUAUCGACCCUCCGGGGUUGACUUAUAGCCCGGGGUGCCAUGUGGCUCGCCUAGACCGAGGUACGCGCUCUGCACGGAUGCUGGCGUAAUGGCUGUAAGCGACCCGUCUUGAAACACGGACCAAGGAGUCUAACAUCUAUGCGAGUGUUCGGGUGUCAAACCCUUGCGCGUAAUGAAAGUGAACGGAGGUAGGAACCCCUUGGGGCGCACUAUCGACCGAUCCUGAUGUUCUCGGAUGGAUUUGAGUAAGAGCAUAGCUGUUGGGACCCGAAAGAUGGUGAACUAUGCGUGUAUAGGGUGAAGCCAGAGGAAACUCUGGUGGAGGCUCGCAGCGGUUCUGACGUGCAAAUCGAUCGUCAAAUACGCGUAUAGGGGCGAAAGACUAAUCGAACCAUCUGGUAGCUGGUUCCUGC
rnacentral:rRNA from 1 species